AAACCAGCACCUCAAGUGGUCAGGAUGAUUAUUGGGCCUAAAGCAUCCGUAGCCGGCUCUGUAAGUUUUCGGUUAAAUCUGUAUGCUCAACAUACAGGCUGCCGGAAAUACUGCAGAGCUAGGGAGUGGGAGAGGUAGACGGUACUCGGUAGGAAGGGGUAAAAUCCUUUGAUCUAUCGAUGACCACCUGUGGCGAAGGCGGUCUACCAGAACACGUCCGACGGUGAGGGAUGAAAGCUGGGGGAGCAAACCGGAUUAGAAACCCCGGUAGUCC
rnacentral:rRNA from 1 species